UGACCUGCGCUUUUCCAGCAACACAUUUUCAGCUCUGAUCUCUAGCAUCUGCAGUCCUCACUUUCUCUCCAUUCCUAAAUGUCAACUCUAGAGUUCAAGACGCGAAUCUUUGUUGUUCCACCUUCCUAACAUCAUCUGCAGGCAAAAGAUCCUGUAGAGUUUGUUAUUUCUCAUUAUUCCCGAAGAAUUCUACAGUUCAGCAGACUUACAACAAGAUGGAGAAAAUCAGAGUCCUUGUUACAAUCCAAGGUCAGCGCUUACACUAUGAUGGCAAACAAGGGAUUUUCAUGUGAAGCCAUAAAGCAUUCAUACACUAAACCCACACAACAUGAUAUCAAUUGUUAAUUUGUUUUCAAUUCCAGAAUUCCCCUUAAAUUUUUAUACGGUGGAAUUAAAGCUAAAUUAAAGUAAACAACAUGAUAUCUGUGUUGCUCUUUUUUUACACACAUUAUUCCCCUUUUCAUUUGAUUACAAAUAUCUCCUUUGUGAUUUCUGAUUCAAAAUGAAUGAACUUAUUUUCAUUGCCAGUUAAUAGGGCUAAAACACAAAGCAAUUUUAAAAAGUGAAGCAGCAUACAAACUUAGAUUUCUACCUUAUUACCUUAACACAGUCUUAACAUUAGUGCUGUUAUAGAAAUAUUACAUUCAGCUUUGCAUUGUUCAUGCUACCUAUGACAAUUGUGUACACCACAUUACAACACAGAAAGUAUUUAGCUUCUGCAGACCAUGUUACAAUGAUGGUCAGUGUAUUUUUCUAUUCUACAUUUGGACAUUUAGAAAAAAAAAACAAGACGUUUACUUUUAUAUCCAUUA